rnacentral:rRNA from 1 species
GGACAGAUGGGAGCUUGCUCCCUGAUGUUAGCGGCGGACGGGUGAGUAACACGUGGGUAACCUGCCUGUAAGACUGGGAUAACUCCGGGAAACCGGAGCUAAUACCGGAUGCUUGUUUGAACCGCAUGGUUCAAACAUAAAAGGUGGCUUCGGCUACCACUUACAGAUGGACCCGCGGCGCAUUAGCUAGUUGGUGAGGUAAUGGCUCACCAAGGCGACGAUGCGUAGCCGACCUGAGAGGGUGAUCGGCCACACUGGGACUGAGACACGGCCCAGACUCCUACGGGAGGCAGCAGUAGGGAAUCUUCCGCAAUGGACGAAAGUCUGACGGAGCAACGCCGCGUGAGUGAUGAAGGUUUUCGGAUCGUAAAGCUCUGUUGUUAGGGAAGAACAAGUACCGUUCGAAUAGGGCGGUACCUUGACGGUACCUAACCAGAAAGCCACGGCUAACUACGUGCCAGCAGCCGCGGUAAUACGUAGGUGGCAAGCGUUGUCCGGAAUUAUUGGGCGUAAAGGGCUCGCAGGCGGUUUCUUAAGUCUGAUGUGAAAGCCCCCGGUUCAACCGGGGAGGGUCAUUGGAAACUGGGGAACUUGAGUGCAAAAAAGGAAAGUGGAAUUCCACGUGUAGCGGUGAAAUGCGUAGAGAUGUGAAGGAACACCAGUGGCGAAGGCGACUCUCUGGUCUGUAACUGACGCUGAGGAGCGAAAGCGUGGGGAGCGAACAGGAUUAGAUACCCUGGUAGUCCACGCCGUAAACGAUGAGUGCUAAGUGUUAGGGGGUUUCCGCCCCUUAGUGCUGCAGCUAACGCAUUAAGCACUCCGCCUGGGGAGUACGGUCGCAAGACUGAAACUCAAAGGAAUUGACGGGGGCCCGCACAAGCGGUGAA